rnacentral:lncRNA from 1 species
GAGGCUCUAACGCUUCCACUCUUCACAACUUCCUCUAGGCUUUUCUGGCUUUGCCCGCCCAGCUGCUCCAUGCCAGGAGGAGGAGGAGACACCUAGAGCCUGCAACACCACGGCUCACCUCGCUGCAGUCUCCCACUGUCGCCCAGGCUGAAGUCCUGAGGCCAGAAUGAGACUAGGACAUGGUUCCUUUGCCUAAGUAAACUGAGGCAGAAAAUGGAAUACUUCAGACUUCAAAUUAGUAUGGUAAGUGCUAUGAAGAGUAUGAUUAGAGUUCAUUAUUUACCCAGAAAAGGGUCACUCAGCCCAGCCUGGGAGUUAGAGAAGGUUUCCUGAAUUCUUGACAUGUGAGUCGUGAAAGGACAUAAGGAGUUAACCACGUGACAAAAUAAGCUAAGAGAAUUCUCAACAAAAGACAAAAUAUUGACAAAGGCUUUUAGGCAUAUACUAGCUUAGUAUUAUUGGGAGAAUGUAAUGAUUUUCUGUAUUUCAAAAGUGUAAAAUACAAAGUGGGCCAUGAUAUGAGAUAAACCAGUAAAUAUGUUCUGGGAACAGAUCAUAGAAGGGCGUGUAUGCUGUCCUAAGGAGCUUAAACUUCAACUUCAGUUCAUGGGAGCCAAUGACAAGAUCUGAGCAGGGGAAGGAUGUGGCUAGAGGGGCAUCUUAGACAGACAAGAUCCUCUGUGGAUUACACCUAGGCUAAGCAACGGGUUAAAGUUGUUGUCUUAAGACAAUAGUCCAGGUAAAAGAUAAUAAAGUUUUAAAUUAGGAUGUUAGUAGGAAUGAGGAAGAGGGAUGGAUUUCAGAAAUAGUAAGGAAAUGUAUUAGCAGGACUUGAUUAGUGAUUGACUUGGGGAAGGAGGGGAAGAUAGAGUUCAGGAUGACUCCGAGACUGUCUGGUGUCGGUGGCUAAUAACUGAAGCUAUUAAUAGAGGUAGGAAAUGCAGACCAAAAGCAGGCCCGGGGUGAGAGAUGAUAAAUUUGAAUUUUAACAUGUUGAGUUUGGACAUCCAGGAUGAAAUAAUCACAAAACAUUUAAAUAUACGAAUCUGAAAAGGUAAGCAUCAUAAGCAUAUGAGCUAUUGGUAAAAUUCUGAUACUUAAUGAAGUCUCACAGGGAGGCAGUACAGAGGCAAGCAAUGGGCUGGGGAUAAAACAUAGGGAAAUAUUAUUUAAAUAAAGAUGAAAGAAAAGGAGCCCACAAAGGAAGCUGAAAAGGCAUAGUCAAAAAAAGAGGCUUGCCAAAUGCCACCUUUGAAGCUCUGCUGUUACACUUUAUAAGGAAACUUUUGGUUACCUGGGAUUGCAUGCAUUUAUAAAAGUUUCUAUUAUUAGGAAGACAAUAAUAAUGAUAAGGCUCUUUCUCAUUGUUGUCAGUGUAAUUUAUCUAUUUAAUUAUAGAACCUAGUUCCAGGAUGCUUAAUCUGAAGUAUAUACUUGGGGCAAAAUGAAUUAUAUCUUAAUAAUAAUCUGGAAUUUUUAUCUCUAACUUGACAUAUUUUAAUUCUUGCUAGAUUUUCAAAAUGUCAUACCUUGAACCACCGCCAGAUGGCUAUGAGAAUGUUACAAAUACUGUGUCACCAUAUAAUGCUUUCUCAGCCCAAGGCAUGCCAGAGAUGUCACUGGCUAAUACAGGAAGUUUAUUAAGUAUUAACUCACACAAUCACCAAGUCUCACAAUAGGCCAUCUGCUGGAUGAGGAGCAAAAAGAGCCAGCCAGAGUUCCAAAACUGAAGAACUUGGAGUCCAUGUUCGAGGGCAAGAAGC